UGGGUGACCUACCUUUCAGUGAAGAAUACCGGCGAGAAAUCGCCGACAAGACUGCAUACGCUCCCUCUCUCAACACGAGGGGGGAGGAAAGCUCUCUUUUUAUCGGGAGGGCGCUGGAAGAUGGGCCUGUGGCCGAUUAGCUAGUUGGGGAGGUAAGAGCUUCCCAAGGCGACGAUCGGUAGCUGGUCUGAGAGGACGAUCAGCCACACUGGGAUUGAGAACGGCCCAG
rnacentral:rRNA from 1 species